rnacentral:rRNA from 1 species
AUGCCGGUGGCCUCACCGAUUCGAGUCCGAGGGACAUCGAUGGGCACGGAACGCAUGUGUCGUCAACGGCUGCAGGCUCCGAGGUCCCCUGGGCGGGCGAGCACGGAUCUCUUCAAGUUCGCGGGCGGGAGAGCGAGCGGCGUGGCUCGCAGGGCAAGGAUCGCCAUGUACAAGGCGUGCACCCGGGGCGGAUGCUCCUUGUCGGCCAUUACCGCGGCGAUCGAUGCCGCGGUGAGCGACGGCGUGGACCUCAUCUCCAUGUCCCUCGGAGGCCCCGUGGAAGCCUUCUACGACGACCUCGUCGCCGUCGCCACGUUCGGCGCUGAGCGCAGAGGCGUCUUCGUCGUCAUGGCGGGCGGCAACGACGGCCCGACAGCGUCAAGUAUAACCAACGUGGCCCCGUGGAUGACCACCGUCGGCGCCGCCACCACGGACCGGGUGUUCCCGGCGACACUCAGGCUCGGCAACGGGGUGGUGCUCACCGGGCAGUCCCUGUACAACAUCCCGUUCUCCCAGGGCGCGGGCACGAUCCCGCUAGUGAGCAGAGACUGCGGCAAGUACGGCGACCUGACGCCCGACAGGGUCAUGGGCAAGGUCGUGGUGUGCUCCAAGGGUGAAGGAGCUUGGGCCGGCUUUGACGUGGAGAGAGCCGGCGGAGCCGGGAUGAUUUCCGCCGAUAGUAGGACACGGUUCGGGGACGCGGUGAAGGCCCAACCCUUCAACCUUCCCGGUCUCCAGCUCAGCUCCACCGGCGGCAAGAAGCUGGCCGAUUACAUGUCGUCCGUAGCGUACCCGGUGGCGUCCUUCAACUUCACCUGCGUCACGGUCACCGGCGAGAACCGGGCGCCGAUGGUGGCGGGCUUCUCCUCGCGGGGCCCCAACCCGAUUGUCCCCGAGAUCCUCAAGCCGGACGUCAUCGCGCCAGGAGUGAACAUCCUUGCCGCCUGGUCUGGUGCCGCCUCGCCAUCUGGCUCCGUCAUGGACCCGCGGAGAGUGGAGUACAACAUCCUCUCGGGGACGUCGAUGGCGUGCCCGCACGUGGCCGGCGUGGCGGCCCUGAUCAAGAAGCGGCACGGCGACUGGACGCCGGCCAUGAUCCGUUCGGCGCUGGUAACGACCGCCGGCCCGCUCGACAAGGACGGCAGGGAUAUCGUGGACAGCGGCAGUGCCGUCGGCGCCGCCGUCAUGGGCGCGACGCCGCUGGCGGCCGGUGCCGGGUUCGUGCUCCCGCGGCUCGCCAUGGACCCGGGCCUGGUGUACGACGCCGGCACGCAGGACUACGUCGACUUCCUCUGCACACUCAACUACACGGUGGAGCAGAUGCGGCAGUUCGUGCCGGAGCUAAGCAAGUGCGAGAGGACGAUCCCCGGCGGCGUGGCCAACCUGAACCACCCGUCGUUCGUGGUGGUGUUCGACGGCCGCAGCCGCAUCCGCACGCUGACGCGGACGGUGACCUUGGUGUCGGCGCGCCCCGAGAGGUACAACGUGACGGUCGCGGCGCCCGACGGGGUGAAGGUGACCGUGACGCCGGCGACGCUGGAGUUCAGGUGGCCGAAGGAGAAGAGGAGCUACAGCGUGCCGUUCAGCAGCGAGGCGGGGGCGAAGGCGAGGCCGGCCGGCACGUGGGAGUUCGGCCACAUCGCCUGGGAGAACAGAAAGCACCGGGUCAGGAGCCCCGUCGCCUUCAAGUGGGACGACUGA